rnacentral:sRNA from 12 species
GAAGCGCGAACCAAGCAGGCGCAUCAAGGCGCUGUGAGACUUGGAGCUGGUCUUGGCAACGAGAUCAUGCA